AAGUCGUAACAAGGUUUCCGUAGGUGAACCUGCGGAAGGAUCAUUAACGAGUUAGGGUCUUCUAGGCCCGACCUCCCAACCCUUUGUUUACUGGACCACUUGUUGCUUCGGCGGGCCCGUCCCCUCGGGGACCGCCGGAGGGUCGUCAAACACCCUCUGGCCUGCUGCCCGUCGACGCCAAACCAUAACAAAUUCUUAACUAAACAUGUCAUUGUCUGAGUACUUGAUUGUAAUAAAUCAUAAGCAAAACUUUCAACAACGGAUCUCUUGGUUCUG
rnacentral:misc_RNA from 1 species